CACAGUGUGGGGCUGUGCCUCGCGGCGAGGGCACUUCCCAAACCCCGGAGUGCGGCGCCCCGGGGUCGGCGCCCGCGCCCCGCCGGCCGGCCCGCACGCGGGAGGAAGCCCGCGGCCGGCGCCCCGGGCCGUACCCCCGCCGCUGCGAGCCCCGCAGUACCUCUUCCUCCUGAAGUGGGCCGCUCGAGAUGACAGGAUGCGAGAGAACGAGCGACGUCCGGGCGAAGCCGGGUCCUCCCAAACCUCCCAGCCUUCCAGCACCGGCCUUGGCUCCCUUCUAGGCUUCGCGGGCCGCCCUGCUCAGGCUCCUCUCGCCUCAUCAGACCGUCCUGGAAUUAUUUGUUUACCUGGCUGCCUCCCUUAUUCUUCAGGGAGAGCAUUCCCGCAAGAGAACACCGUGCCCUCUUUAUCAUUAUAACCCCGCUGCUAUUUAAAUACGCUACCUGGUAUACAGUAGGCACUCAAUAAAUACUUGUUGGCUAAGUGACUGUUCCUCCCAGGGAGCCGAACUGGAGACCAACACGGAUGAUCUUCAGAGGGUCAAAGCGGCUUAGAGAAAGAAGAGGGCUCAGCAUUCUGGGAGGUCAGCACACAACGCCUUGUUUAUGCGCCAACUCGGGAGGACUGCGUGGUUUUGUUUCCUCACCUGUGAAAUGGGAGUAGUUGGGAGUUACCUCCCAGGGGGUUGCAAUUAAAGGAGAUGACAGGUCGGUGGACCUAUAGCAUGCAGCACCCAUGCCUGCCCAGUUGAGGUUUGCAGGAACUUGGAAGCUAGUGUUUUUAUUAAGGAAAUUUCCAUUUUUCCGGGGGUCGUAGGGAGCUUCUCCAUUCCGGUAUCAUAAACACAUAAAUUUAAAACUGCAUGUAUCAGUAGGUUCUCCCUCACUUCCCACGCCCAGGAAUUCUCUCCCACAGCACGCUGUUCCUUUCUUCACAGCACCAAUCACAAUUUUUGUUUAUUUGCUUGCUUCACUGUUUAUCUCUCUCUGCUCCCCCUCCCCCAGACAUUCUUCACCCUAUAGUGGUUUAAGUGCUCCUGGGAGUGGGAUGGGGGUGGGGAUGAAGAUAAGGCUCCUGCUUUUCGGGAGUUUGAGCUGGUGCUGCAGAGACAGGAUUCCCAGAACAACUCCACCGCACCGUGAUCAGGGAUCCUGGUUCAAGUCGCAGGAAGCAACGAAAUACUUGCGUCAAGAGCGUUGUGUGGGGGUUGGGUGAUAACUUCCAUUCACCUAUUGGGUUUUUCCUUGGCGUGAGGGGGUGGGGGGAGUCUGAGGAUUUUGGUAAAUAGAUUUAAUUGCUGUCAUGAUGUCCUGUCUCUCUAUGGGGGAGAAAAAAGUGUAUCCUGGAUGAAAAUAAGCCAAGAAUCUGUUGAACUUGCAACUGAAGUUUAGAAAAGGCAAGGGCCACAAUUAAUCUGGACACAGCCCUUUCCAUUCCCUGAGUUACAGAAGGAGCCACGAGGGGGCAGUGUCUUCCUGAGCAAUGGCUGAGUGGUGGGCUUGGACCCCCACGCCACCAAUGCUGCCGGCACUCUGCUCUCCUUGGCCCUUGCCCCGUACUGAAACACUCCACAGAAAGAUAUUGUUUUGCUGGAGCCUGGCAAAGGCCCAAGAAAAAUGACAAUUGAUCUAGUCAUUGAUGGUUGCAGUCGGACGCCACUUAUGAGUAGGUGGAAGAUGUCUGAUUCCAGGAUGCGGCUGCGACCCCAGCCAGGGAAAUCUGGCUUCCUUCCAAGCGUAGAACCUGAUUCCUUGACUUUCAGCCAAGCCAGCACUUUUGUCCAUUGUUAAAAGUCAAAACCUCUGGGAUAAAAAAAUGAAAAUCGGAGCUGUGAGAGGAUCUUUGUCUGAUCGGUCAUUGUUGUGUUCCCAGCAUCUAGACAAUGCUUGACACAUAGUAGGCACUCAGUGGUUGUGUUUGACUGAAUGAACACAUUAAGUCUUAUCAGAUAUUGAUUUUCAGUCUUGAAUGACAUCAGAUCCUUCCAAGAUCCUGCAGGAGGGACUGAGUUAGACGUGUCUCAGCAUGGAGAGCCACCACAAGGGAACUAGGCAGACUCAUGGUAGUGGUCUGUAGUCACUAUUUUGCAGGGGAAGACCCUACCUAGAUAGAGAGCUUGCUCAGAAUGAGACAGCUGUUGAGAUUUCAAAAAUAAAAAAUAAAAUCAAACCGCUCAAUGAGUCGUCUGAUGCAUCAGGCAGUUAACAAUACAGCAGGGAGGCCUAUCAGUGGUGAGCAUGAAAUUCAAGGUGUUUUCAGAAAAGCCUGUGGGGAUGGGGGUGAUACACCAUGAAAAGAGGGACUCCUGUUUCCUGUCCUUUCCAAGAAGAAUGGUGUAGACAGACCUGGAAGAAAAUAGGGUCAUAUAUUACUAACAACCCCCCCCCCCCCGGAAAAUCUGUAAAUAGACUUUAGCUGUUUAUGAAGCCUAAGUGAGAGGAAAAACAUCAUUCAGGAUAUAAAUGAUCCUUAUGGCCUGUUGAUUACUCUAAAGAACGUUUCAAAAGUGAGAUCUCACUCAGUAGCACUGAGUAGCUUCCAGACACACCACGAGGUCCAAGACAACAAAGGGAUUUCAUAUCCUAGAAAAAUAGGGCUAAUGGCCAUGAAACACCUGCUUUCUCCCUUGCCCACCACUUUACCACAUUGCUUCCAGCCUGCAAGGUUACAUGCCAGAUGGAAAGGGGAAUAUUGGAUGCACCUGUAGCUUUAGGACUUAUCUCUGUUUCUCUGGCAGUGUUCAUUCUGAGGUUUGCUUUAAGAAAUCCAAACGAAUCAUUAUGUCUUCAAUGUUUGUCUCUGGGAACUGUAGACAUUAAAGAUUUUUUGAGGCAGUUUGCAUAGCAGGGGUUUUGUACCUGUGCUAACACAGCAGCAGAAAGCUACAGUAUCUACCACAUGGGGUUCUGAAUAUCUGUUCACACUUCUGCAUCCUCUGCUUGACCCAGAAAGUUCUGGAGGCCAGAAGCUAUGUUUUAUUGGGUUAUGUCAUCCUUGAAAUCUCUCUCCCUUCACCCCCACCCUCCUCCGGGCCAUCAUCAUCUUCCCCUGAUUUGUGACUUUUUAAAAAAA